rnacentral:rRNA from 1 species
CUGCAACUCGCCUGCAUGAAGCUGGAAUUGCUAGUAAUCGCGGAUCAGCAAGCCGCGGUGAAUACGUUCCCGGGCCUUGUACACACCGCCCGUCACACCAUGAGAGUCGGGAACACCCGAAGUCCGUAGUCUAACCGCAAGGGGGGCGCGGCCGAAGGUGGGUCCGGUAAUUGGGGUGAAGUCGUAACAAGGUAGC